GCAGACACAGGGGGUGUGUGCGUAAUGUUUGAAACUGACUGUUGUACCUUUAUUCCUAAGCGGGCACAGCCCCGGAUGGAUCAUUUACUAGAGCCAUGAAGAAGAUAAAAGAAUUAAGACCGGAAGUUGCUACCAAUGCGGGGAGAGACAGGAGCUUUGGGUAUUAGCUUGACUCAAUAUUUGCAUCCUGGAAAGACUGGCUCAUUCAGGUGGGAAUAAUAUUAGCAGUAUCAGUUGGUGUUUUCUUUCUGUUGUGUUGUUGUGUUGUGCCUUUUCUCAGAUCAAUGCUGGCCAGUGCAGCUGCCAAACAAAUGAUCAAUGUAUCAGUGAGACCAUCAGGAGUUGAUAUUGGAUGUGUCAAUGAAGAGAUUCACCCAAGUGCCCCAGACCUGGAUGAGCUGGACGAGUUUCUGUAAAGUAACUAACUGAGACCAUAUGGAAAGAUGUAGAUAGAGAAACUAUACGUGAAGCGCGGUCACCGAUUGUCAAAGAAGGCAAGGGCAGACUCAACUGGUGGUUUAAAAACCCGCUGUCUGCUCCAACCCCAGAUAGCGCUCCAAGGUAACUUGAGCACCUCUGGCAACGAUGGAGCAACCCAGAUAGCACUCCAGGCCACCGGAAGCGCCUGCGAAGUUCCUCUGGCACCGUGGGACAAAAUAAAGAUUCAAAAAUGCAGGCAAACACAAAGAAACAUGCCCCUUAAGCUGAUGAUGUAAAAAGAAGGGUAGGAUCUUUUACUCCACUCUAGUCAAUGGAGGGUGGAGAUGUUUGGUCCUGCUUCUCCUCCAGGGUGCACCUAUGUGAUGUGGGUUAGAUUGGUAAAAGGUGAAUGGUCUAUAUUGACCAUAUUGGUAGAAGGAGAGAAGACCGACUCAUAAAGAUGCAUCCUGGGCACAAUUAUUGAGUGUGGGACUAGAGAAAUUCCCAAAGGGGGCCUAUGUUGGAGAAUUCUGCUUGUCCUAUGUACAUGUGAAAGAAGAGUGCUGUACAUGUGAAAGAAGCAUGCUGUGCAUGUGAAAGAAGCGUGCAUGUGAUGUAA